CAGCAGCCGCGGGAAAACGAAGGGUGCAAGCGUUACUCGGAAUUACUGGGCGUAAAGCGUGCGUAGGUGGUGGUUUAAGUCCGUUGUGAAAGCCCUGGGCUCAACCUGGGAAUUGCAGUGGAUACUGGGUCACUAGAGUGUGGUAGAGGAUAGUGGAAUUUCCGGUGUAGCAGUGAAAUGCGUAGAGAUCGGAGGGAACAUCUGUGGCGAAGGCGACUAUCUGGGCCAACACUGACACUGAGGCACGAAAGCGUGGGGAGCAAACAGGAUUAGAUACCCCCGUAGUCCCUGUCUCUUAUAC
rnacentral:rRNA from 1 species